GUCUAUGGCCAUGCCACUCUGAACACUCCCGAUCUCUUCUAAUCUCAGAAGCUAAGCAGGGUCGGGCCUGGUUAGUACUUGGAUGAGAGACCAUCUAGGAAGACAAGGUGCUCUGGGCA
rnacentral:rRNA from 1 species